GACUAGUGACAGAGUGAGGAAGGGGGUGACACAAUGACAGAGGGAGGGAGGGAGUGACUAGUGACAGAGUGAAGGAGGUGGUGACUGUCACUAGUCACCCCAUCCCUCCCUCUGUCAUUGUGUCACCCCCUCCCUCACUCUGUCACUAGUCA